CCUGGUGGCUCAUACGGUAAAGAGUCUGCCUGCAAUGCAGGAGAUCCGGGUUCGAUUCCUGGGUCAGGA
rnacentral:tRNA from 1 species